UCCUCCGUAGUGUGGUGGUGAGUAUCUCCACUUGUCACGUGGAAGGCCCGGGUUUGAUUCCCGGCCGGGGAG
rnacentral:tRNA from 1 species